CGAUGACUCGGGGAUAGCCUUUCGAAAGAAAGAAUUAAUACCCGAUGGCAUAGUUCUUCCGCAUGGUGGAACUAUUAAAGAAUUUCGGUCAUCGAUGGGGAUGCGUUCCAUUAGGUUGUUGGCGGGGUAACGGCUCACCAAGCCUUCGAUGGAUAGGGGUUCUGAGAGGAAGGUCCCCCACCAUUGGAACUGAGACACGGUCCAAACUCCUACGGGAGGCAGCAUG
rnacentral:rRNA from 1 species